GCUCAGAUUGAACGCUAGCGGGAUGCCUUACACAUGCAAGUCGAACGGCAGCACGGACUUCGGUCUGGUGGCGAGUGGCGAACGGGUGAGUAAUGUAUCGGAACGUGCCUAGUAGCGGGGGAUAACUACGCGAAAGCGUAGCUAAUACCGCAUACGCCCUACGGGGGAAAGCAGGGGAUCGCAAGACCUUGCACUAUUAGAGCGGCCGAUAUCGGAUUAGCUAGUUGGUGGGGUAACGGCUCACCAAGGCGACGAUCCGUAGCUGGUUUGAGAGGACGACCAGCCACACUGGGACUGAGACACGGCCCAGACUCCUACGGGAGGCAGCAGUGGGGAAUUUUGGACAAUGGGGGAAACCCUGAUCCAGCCAUCCCGCGUGUGCGAUGAAGGCCUUCGGGUUGUAAAGCACUUUUGGCAGGAAAGAAACGUUCCGGGUUAAUACCCCGGGAAACUGACGGUACCUGCAGAAUAAGCACCGGCUAACUACGUGCCAGCAGCCGCGGUAAUACGUAGGGUGCAAGCGUUAAUCGGAAUUACUGGGCGUAAAGCGUGCGCAGGCGGUUCGGAAAGAAAGAUGUGAAAUCCCAGAGCUUAACUUUGGAACUGCAUUUUUAACUACCGAGCUAGAGUGUGUCAGAGGGAGGUGGAAUUCCGCGUGUAGCAGUGAAAUGCGUAGAUAUGCGGAGGAACACCGAUGGCGAAGGCAGCCUCCUGGGAUAACACUGACGCUC
rnacentral:rRNA from 3 species